UAAUGACACACCCCGUCCCGAAGGAGGGCAUGCUGGCCGUCACGUGAGAGUGACGUAACCAUUUGCACAGUACGGAAGCUUUAAUUAUACAAUUUAUAAGUUGAUACACCCGAAGGUGAGUCCUAAUUUUGUCCAAUCUGUCAGAACACCGUCGAAUUCCUCGUAGUCACCACACCUUUGUGAUUCCUGAACCUGGAGGGGCGCAAAACCAAAAUUGAGUGGGUUAGUAAAACAAUUCUUUUCCAAAUCCAAACAUUUUUCAAAACGUUGUAACCCCUCUCCGUAAAACCUGUAUAUUUUCCCAGAAAUGUAAAAUAUAAAUAUACAUAUAUAUUCUCAAGACUUCAAGUCGUUAACUCAACAUUUUCAUAACAAUUAUGCCAUGCCACAUCAUCUCAACAUUUCUCAUAUUAAUUAUGCCAUGCCACAUCAUCUCAACAGUAAUAAGGUAUGAAUGCAUCAACAUAAUCAUAUCAGGUGCAAGAAAGUAAUCAACCGUAGGCCCUCUAAUAGCCCUGUACGGUUGAACCUAGAGCUCAAAAUCUAUCAUUAUCACUCUACCGGAGUCACCUCUGUGACCCGUCCGGCCUUCUGCACACAAGUUACGCUCUAGUGCUUCUCAUAAAUCAUCUGUGCACAUAAUCUAAGGUCACCCACCAGUCGGAAUCUCACUAACACUCUCGCGACUGGUCUGUCGUACCCACUCCGCGUGGACUGUACGACUAGCAUCUACUUGGAUCCAAGGCGAGCGUGCGAUGCGGUGAAUACUAUAAGCACUAAACCAUGGUGCAGGAUUUGAGCUCAAUAUAUAUCAUCAUCAUCAUAACAGUAAUUAAAUACUCAUUUGUGCGUCCACCGCACCAUUUCAUACAUAUGCAUCAUAAAUCAAUUCUUACCUGUGCGUCCACCGCACCAAUUCAUACAUAUGCAUCAUAUAUUAAUUCAUGCAUGGCAUUUCAACUCACAUUUCUAUAUACUUUUCAUAUCAAUUCUAUGCAUGGUAUUUCACUUCCCGUUUUUCCACAUAACUCAUAUGCAUUUCAUUUUAAACAUAUUUUCAUUUCAAUUCAAUUUCUGGGAAACGUCAAGUAUAUAUAUAUAUACGGAAAACAAAACUGCCCACUCACCUGGAGUUCGCCCUACAACUCCCUAGCACAAUACGCCAAGGCGUCAUGACGAUCGCCGCCUAGAAUAGUAAUCAAAUCCAGGCUCAGAAUUCAUAUCGAUAGAAUACAUAACUUAUAUAAAAUACGUCACUACGUUGAUCGAUCCGGAAGAUCUGCCACUCAGAUUUUAAAUCCAUAACUUCCAGAGGUCCACAUUAUACCUCUAGGACAACAUCCUAAAAUUUCAUUACCAUCCAACGGUCGGAUCUCCGUCAAUUUCCAAAACUAAGUGACGGUUAACAUUUUAUAUUAUGGACUUACAAUUCCAAUUCCGGAAGAUCCCUAACUCGGAUUCCCAAUCCGUAAGUUCCAAUAAUCCUCAAAUAUUACGUAUUACAACGUAUCAAAUUUUGGUGACGAUCCAACGGUCGGAUCAUCAAUUCACAUUUUCACCCAAAACUAUAAAACGUUAUUCGAACACCUAACCAACAAUCCUUAAUAACUUUCUCAUACGGUGCUCAAAUUGGGUAUAUGAAUAUACCACAGUGAUCUACUCGACGUCACGGACGUCGACAUAUUUUUAAAAUAAUUUUAUUUUUAUUUUUUAUUUUACUGUAGCACCAUCUUCUUCCUUGGGUCGCCGGACUGGUUUUUCCGGCGGCUGUUUUCCGGGCGGUUUUUCAAAUUGCCAUAACUUUGUCAUUUCUCAACGAAAUCAAGUGAUUCAAAAACGAAAGUUGUAGCCCUUGAAGAGACAAAGAGAAUGGUACCUUACACAACACCUAGUUCGCCGUGGUUUGGCCGGAAACUGCCUCGAAAGCCUCGGAGGUCGCCGGAAACUGGGUAUUUUUCAAAUGAGUAUAACUUCUUCAAUACUCAACGAAAUUGAGUGAAACAAAAAGGAAAGUUGUAGUACUUGACGAGACGAAGAGAUUGAUACCUACCUCGACUCCUAACUCGCCGGUGAUUCGCCGGAAAAUGCCUCGAAAGUUCCGGCCAAACUUUGAACUUGUCGAUCUCCGUGUUCUUACGUCCAAAAACUUCCAACGAAGCACUCCGAGCUUCGUGGGAACCUCCUAGAGCUCCCUAUGAUCUUAGUUUGGCCUAAAAAUCAACAAAUACAAAGUUCAUGAAUAGUGUCAUUUCACGGGCUUGAGUUUUCUACGUGAAAUCGUGGGAAACCUUACCUGAAAACAAUACCAAUGUGUUCGUAUGGUCCUCACGAACAUGAUGGUACCUUCCUCAUCCUGAAACUGUGAAGUUUUCGAGAGCCUUGGUGUUUGUCCGAGAGUUUGAGAGAGAAUGAGGGAGUGUGAGAGUGACUGAGGGAGAGAUGAGGAAGAGAGAGAGAAGGAGACAACAAAACGGGAAAUGGGGAAGGAUUUCAGAAGGUAGGACCCUACAUAAAGUCCAAAUACAAAAUAUUAACACAUACAAUAAUAAAUCUAACCCUAGUUUAGGAUGUUUUUAGGUAAAACAAAUACCAAAUUUACGCACCUUAAUCUCGUUUAAGGGCGUUUCUGUAAUUUCACGUCCUCGGAGUUUAUAAUUCCGGGACGGGCUGUGACAAUCUCCCCUCCUUAUAGAAUUUCGUCCCCGAAAUUCUAGCCACCAACCAACCCAUCAAAACUCAUAAAAUAGCCUCGGAUACAUACCUCUCAUCCGUUCUUCCGUCUCCCAAGUAGUUUCUUCCGCUGAAUGGUUCAUCCACAAUACUUUUACCACUUACUCUGUCUUAAUUCUCAGGACCUUCUUUUUCCAAUCCAAAGUCAUCCUUGGUUCCUUAUCAAGUCGAAUCCAAUUUAAUUCUCAAUAGUUGCACCAGAAUUCCAUGAGACGACUCUGCCACCUAGUGACAACGCAUCGAACACAAAAUACAUUAUGUGCCUUAGCCAAUUCUGAAGGCAUCACAAACUUGUAUGCAACUUCAUCGAUUCUUUUAAUGAUCAAAACGGUCUGAUGUGUUUAAAUCUUAUCUUGUCUACUUUCCAAAUCUUACUAUUUCUUUUCAUGAAGAAAUUUCCAAAAAUAUAAAAUCAUCUACGUUAUACACUCGAUUAGUGGCAUACCCAUCUGUUAAUCUCUUUUGUCAUUCCUGGCUACUUUCAGGUUAACUUACUCACCUGAAUAUUUUGAGGAGACUCAUCCAUAGUCUCAGGGCCCGCAAGAACUCUUUUGUCAACUUCUGUCCAACACAAAGGUGUACUAUAAGGUAAUUUGGUAACCAAGCUUCUUGUACGCUAUCCAAAACUUAGAAGUAACCAACAUACCCAAAAACUUAACAUUGUAUAUCGUCAAAAUUGCUUUCUUUAAUUCCACAUAAUUUGGCACAUACGUCCCAUUCUCUUGCAUAAACAUACCAUCCAAUUCUGCCUCGGUUAAUUCUUGAAUUCCUUCGUCAAGCAUUUGAGUCUUGAGUACGACCUUACCAAAUAGGCCUAACUUGAAAUUUAACAAGUAUAACUUCUUCUCGAUCUUCCAUUCUUAAUUUUUCUUCCGUUGGUUUUCAAUCCACAAGAUGAUACUCUUGGCAAACGUGCCAGACAUUAAUCUUACUGUAGUCUUCUCACCAAAUGCUUCAGCUAGAACAAACUUUACGAUCACCCUGAUCGUACAAUCAUGUUCAUUAAGCAAUACAAUUCACCUUUGCUGCCUCAUAUCAAAAUCCUUCCGAGUAAACAAAUAUUGGAGACUCUUUUGAUUUGUAAAAUCUUGCAUUCUUAUCAACAUAUAAUGUCUCCAUAACUUCACAGCAAGGAUGAUAAUCGUGACUUCCAAAUCACCAGUAGGGUAAUUCAUCUCAUGAGAUUCCAUUUGUCGUGAAACGUAUGCAAUCACCCUAACAUUUGCAUCAACAUGCAUCCAAUACCAUUCAAGAAACAUCACUAAAAAUUUAUGAUUACCACUAUUCUCUGGGAUUACUAAAAUACGUGCAUGAGUGAGGAAAUACUUCAGUUGUUGAAUCAUUUGCUCACAAUUUCCUUCCCACUCAUACAUAACCUCUUUUCUCAACCGUCUCGUCAAUGACAAAGCAAUGACUGAAAAAUCUUUCACAACCAUUCAAGAUAGCCUGGUAAGCUAAGAAAUUCCGAAUCUCAAUUACAGUUCGUGGUUGUUCCAAUUCCUCAAUUUCUGCUAUCUUUUAAGGAUUCACUUGAAUACCUUAAGCAGACAUAACAAAUUUUAGAAUGCCACUUGAUCCAUUUAACUUUAGCUUUUGCUAAACUUAGCAUACAACCAACGUUCUCUCAAUCUUUGCUUCACCGACUUAAUACGUUUACAUGCUCUGCUCUGGCUCAGAAUAUGCCAGAAUAUCUUCAAUGAAAAUGAUAUCUAUUUAUCAAGGCAUUAUUGGAAUACAUCAUUCAUCAACUCAUAAAACAGCAUGAGUAUCCAUAUAGCAUCACCAAACUUCAUAAAGACUAUAACGAGUCCAGAAAAACAAUCUUAGGAACAACGUUACUCAUAAUCUUCAAUUGGUAGUAACCAGAUCUCAAUUCAAUCUUUGAAUCUUCGCAAUUACUUAUGAGCUGGUUAAAUAAACAUUAGUACAUCACCAUGGAUAACGGUUCUCAAUCGUUACCCGACUCCAUUGUCUAUAAUCAAUGAACAGUCUCAAGAUCCAUUUUCUUCCUCACCAACAAACUGGGGCUCCUCAAAAGUGUUAUACUAGGUUGAAUAAAACUUUUAUCAACCAAUUCUCUCAACUGAAUUUCCAAUUCCCUUAACUCAUCAUGAACAAAUCUUUAACAUAAAUUUAUACCUGGCAACAAAUCAAUAAUGAACCUCAUAUCUCUGCCUGAAGACAAUCCAGGUAUACUUUCAGGGAAGACAUCAAGAAAAGUCUAACCCUUUCGACAUUAUUCACACUACUCCAAACAACAUCAUUUAGCACCACAUGAGCUAAUAUUUUUGACAGCCUUUCGAAAACAAUCUCUUUGCUCUCACAGCAUAAAUAACGGCCUGACUCAAUCCACUUUGCAUACUAACAAAAGUAAUCUCUGGUCAUCCAGAUCGAUGGAAAGUAACUGGUUUCCCGUAACAUUCCAUCUAGUCACAACUAUAAACAAUCACUCUAAUGGAAUAAAAUUAAUUGACCCAAUACAUACUUUAUUAUUACUGAACAUUCUAAGUAAGUACAACACUAACAUAAAAUAACCUACCGGUUUGCUUGCUUAACGAAUCCACGAAUGAGUUAUUAAUAUUACGGUCUGCAGCCCGCAAUACUGAUAAAUCAUCGUUGUCUCGAUAAGUAGGCAACCACUCUCAAAGAUAUAACAAUACUAUUUUGUCACUCAAUGCAAAAUACAUACACUCGUCUCAACUACAUUUAUUUACCACUCUCUAGGUAAUAUCAUACAUAAUAAGAAAUAUAUCAGCCGAAGUCAACUAGAAUGACCAAUACGGUUGAUUCAACUCUUAUCUCAAUAAUACGUCGGCCGGAUCCACUCCGCGUGGUCGGUACGGCCGAGCCUAUAACUCACCAAUUUCUCAUGUGUCAAUGAAUCCACUUCUCAUGGUCUGUACGGCUGAACAUAUAACUCAUCAAAUCUCUCUGUACUCACGGUCAAUCCGACCAAACUACUAAGUCCAUAACUCUGCUGAAUCGACACUAUGAUAUCAUGGAAAAUUGUUGAGUACAACUGAUUCUAGGGACGAUUCACAAUUAUGUGUCCCAUCUGUUCACAUAAACACAUUCAUUAAUUUCACAUUUCCCAAAGUGUUAAUUUUGUACCUGCUGCACAAGGUACAUUUCCUUUACUCGAGACACCUUGUCUCAAAUAUCUGGGAUUACCAGUAUAUCCAUCACUUUUAUUCUAACCAGCGACAUUAAAACCUCAGCUGGAAGAAUUAACUCUAGCUUCACUUCUUUCGAAGCUCUGAAUCUUUCUAUAUCCUUGAUAUGACGAAUCAUUAACUUUAUCGUCUUCUUUUAAUUCCCAUUCAUUUCUUAUUCUUCUUUAUUCUCGUUGCUCAUGUUCUCAGAGUCCUCAAGACUCAACAGCAUCUCGUAUAUUCCUGGUAAGAAGUAUAAUGGAUAAUGGUCACCCAAAAUACCACUUCCCUUUUGCCACCCAGCUUAAAACAACAUAACACCUCAACCAAAUUAACAACAAUAUCUGGAUAGAACGAGGCAAGUCUGAAAACUUUCUAUAAUAUCCCUCGAUCAUCACCUUCCUUGAUUCACAUUUGCAAACUCUUGCUUACUACCAUCGAUAAAUGCCGGAGGGAUAAACUUUUCCUUAAACAAGUCCUUAAACAAUUUUAAAUCGGCUGUUCCUCCGGUGACAACAAAUCAUACUCCUGUUUCCACCAGGAUACAAAUUCAUACCCAAAACCAGGUAGUCGUCUCGACCCCCUGUCAGAAGGAAGAUUCCUUUGACUUGCAUAAUCUGAAACAUCUUUUCCAAAUGGUUAAACCGUUACUUCGCUCCCUCAGGUUCAUCAUUUCAUAAGGUGAUUCAAAUUCAACUCAUAACCCAUCUUAAAUGUCCCUUUUUAUAAUAGACUGAAUCACCCUAAUAAUAGUUUUCCCUAAACCGCUAUAUUAGGGAGACUAAAUUCCUCUAACUACGUGGUUUGCUACGAGGCGGUGUAGUUCUGACAGAAUUCACUAUAAACUUCUCAAGAUGUCCAAGAUUGCAACCAUGCUCUGAUACCAACUGACACACCCCGUCCCGAAGGAGGGCAUGCUGGCCGUCACGUGAGAGUGACGUAACCAUUUGCACAGUACGGAAGCUUUAAUUAUACAAUUUAUAAGUUGAUACACCCGAAGGUGAGUCCUAAUUUUGUCCAAUCUGUCAGAACACCGUCGAAUUCCUCGUAGUCACCACACCUUUGUGAUUCCUGAACCUGGAGGGGCGCAAAACCAAAAUUGAGUGGGUCAGUAAAACAAUUCUUUUCCAAAUCCAAACAUUUUUCAAAACGUUGUAACCCCUCUCCGUAAAACCUGUAUAUUUUCCCAGAAAUGUAAAAUAUAAAUAUACAUAUAUAUUCUCAAGACUUCAAGUCGUUAACUCAACAUUUUCAUAACAAUUAUGCCAUGCCACAUCAUCUCAACAUUUCUCAUAUUAAUUAUGCCAUGCCACAUCAUCUCAACAGUAAUAAGGUAUGAAUGCAUCAACAUAAUCAUAUC
rnacentral:lncRNA from 1 species